rnacentral:rRNA from 1 species
CCUACGGGUGGCAGCAGUGGGGAAUAUUGCACAAUGGGGGAAACCCUGAUGCAGCGACGCCGCGUGAGUGAAGACGUAAUUCGUUACGUAAAGCUCUAUCAGCCGGGAAGAAAAUGACGGUACCUGAGCAAGAAGCCCCGGCUAACUACGUGCCAGCAGCCGCGGUAAUCCGUAGGGGGCAAGCGUUAUCCGGAUUUACUGGGUGUAAAGGGGGCGUAGACGGUGCGCCAAGUCCGGAGUGAAAUGCCGCAGCUUAACUGCGGAACUGCUUUGGAAACUGGCGAACUAGAGUGCGGGAGGGGUAAGCGGAAUGCGUAGUGUAGCGGUGAAAUGCGUAGAUAUUAGGAGGAACACCGGUGGCGAAGGCGGCUUACUGGACCGUAACUGACGUUGAGGCUCGAAAGCGUGGGUAGCAAACAGGAUUAGAUACCCCUGUAGUC